rnacentral:rRNA from 1 species
UAGUCCACGCAGUAAACGAUGUCUAUUAGAAGUUUGUGGCUAUAUGCCGUGGGUUUCAAAGCUAACGCAUUAAAUAGACCGCCUGGGGAGUACGGCCGCAAGGUUAAAACUCAAAUGAAUUGACGGGGGCCCGCACAAGCGGUGGAGCAUGUGGUUUAAUUCGAUGCAACGCGAAGAACCUUACCAUCCCUUGACAUCCAGAGAAUCUGUUAGAGAUAGUAGAGUGCCUUCGGGAGCUCUGAGACAGGUGCUGCAUGGCUGUCGUCAGCUCGUGUUGUGAAAUGUUGGGUUAAGUCCCGCAACGAGCGCAACCCUUAUCCUUAGUUGCCAGCACGUAAUGGUGGGAACUCUAGGGAGACUGCCGGUGAUAAACCGGAGGAAGGUGGGGACGACGUCAAGUCAUCAUGGCCCUUACGGGAUGGGCUACACACGUACUACAAUGGCAAAUACAAAGGGUUGCUAACCUGCGAAGGUAUGCGAAUCUCAUAAAGUUUGUCGUAGUCCGGAUCGG